AUUGAACGCUGGCGGCAGGCUUAACACAUGCAAGUCGAGCGGGCGAGGUUGCUUCGGUAACUGAGCUAGCGGCGGACGGGUGAGUAAUGCUUAGGAAUCUGCCUAUUAGUGGGGGACAACAUUCCGAAAGGAAUGCUAAUACCGCAUACGCCCUACGGGGGAAAGCAGGGGAUCUUCGGACCUUGCGCUAAUAGAUGAGCCUAAGUCAGAUUAGCUAGUUGGUGGGGUAAAGGCCUACCAAGGCGACGAUCUGUAGCGGGUCUGAGAGGAUGAUCCGCCACAAUGGGACUGAGACACGGCCCAGACUCCUACGGGAGGCAGCAGUGGGGAAUAUUGGACAAUGGGCGGAAGCCUGAUCCAGCCAUGCCGCGUGUGUGAAGAAGGCCUUUUGGUUGUAAAGCACUUUAAGCGAGGAGGAGGCUACUUGGAUUAAUACUCUAGGAUAGUGGACGUUACUCGCAGAAUAAGCACCGGCUAACUCUGUGCCAGCCGCCGUAAGAC
rnacentral:rRNA from 1 species